AACGAACGCUGGCGGCAGGCUUAACACAUGCAAGUCGAACGGGCAUAGCAAUAUGUCAGUGGCAGACGGGUGAGUAACGCGUGGGAACGUGCCCUUUAGUUCGGAAUAACCAAGGGAAACUUUGGCUAAUACCGGAUAAGCCCGAGAGGGGAAAGAUUUAUCGCUGAAGGAGCGGCCCGCGUCUGAUUAGCUAGUUGGUGCGGUAAUGGCUCACCAAGGCGACGAUCAGUAGCUGGUCUGAGAGGAUGAUCAGCAACACUGGGACUGAGACACGGCCCAAACUCCUACGGGAGGCAGCAGUGGGGAAUAUUGGACAAUGGGCGCAAGCCUGAUCCAGCCAUGCCGCGUGAGUGAUGACGGCCGUCGGGUUGUAAAGCUCUUUUGUCCGGGAAGAUAAUGACUGUACCGGAAGAAUAAGCCCCGGCAAACUUCGUGCCAGCAGCCGCCGCCG
rnacentral:rRNA from 1 species